rnacentral:lncRNA from 1 species
GUCACAAGAAGCUGUUUUGAACAGUGUAACUGAAAUCUUUUUAUUCCAAGGAAAAGCUCAUCUCUGUUGCCAGUCUCAUUUUUCUUCCUGUGUAUGUUAUCAAGACAAUAUAUUUUUAAAAUACUGUUAUCGCAGAGAUCACCAGGGGAUGGCAUUAUCCUAAUGCUAAAAAUACAUUUUUUCUUAGCUCGUGGCCAAGCUUUUGUUGUUGUAAGAUGAGCUUUGACUCUGUGUUUUCGAACACGCUCUUUUGGGGGGAGCUGCGGCAGCAGCAGGAAGUCUGAUUGCUGCUUAACCGUUCUACCCUGAGUCAAUUUUGAAACUCAGCCGCUAACUGAGGAGCAGGCCUCGAUGUCUGAGCAGUAGCUGAGCACCAGCUGUGAACACCUCUGAUCCAAGAAGGGCUUGCAAAGUGUAAAUAACACAGAUGAGCGCACUAAGAAAACACCCACGGAGACAAGCUGAUCCCAGCGAGCUCAGUGUUUUCACACCACACUCCACGCCACUGCUUUCCUCUUGUGGUCCGGUGCAGACGCGAACGGUGCGUCUUCACAACUCAGGUUCAGCAAAUAACCUGACACAAGCCGGGACUGCGCGACUGACUGUGGGUGAACAGGGAAACUGUAUCUUGCCUCAGUGCGGCUAGAAGCCGAGCCAAAGCGCACUGAGGAAAGCAAGGAGUCACCGGGGUUUGCACGCGGCCUUCUCGCAGAUGAAGUUCUGUGCUCUAGGAAGUAGCUGGAGGCUUUGAACGAGUGAGAAAAAGGAAGAGCACAGCAACACGAACAUAACGAAAGGGAAAAGUCUGGGGAACAUGGUCACCUAUAGAUGGUGCAAUCAAAGGCCAUGUCAGCACAGCACAGAUCAGUGCCUAGAGAACAUAGCUCCACCAGGCUAUUUGAUGAUAUAAGCAGGCAUACCCUCAAGAGAAGGACCAAAGCCCCGCCAAAAUUCCUUUUACGUACCCAAACUGGUUUCCAGAUGACUUUAAAAAUAUGUUUACGGAGUCUCUUCAUCAAACUACGCCUUUUACUUGCAAAUGUAGAGUCCAAAGCGGGAGCACGCAGAAGCAGACGGGUCCCGUUUUAUCACCAACGGUCCUGUUACCACCCUUGAACGAUAAAUAUAUCAG